CGGUUGAGAGAGCUGCCUUCAGCAGUUCGUUGGACCUUGGUGUUCACUCGGCCG
rfam:Bosea sp. AAP35 AAP35_Contigs_42, whole genome shotgun sequence.